rnacentral:tRNA from 1 species
GUUUCUAUAGUUGAAGUAAAACAACAGUGGCUUUUCAGGCCACAGGACUUGGAUCGAGGCCAAGUGGAAAUU